UACGUAGGGUGCGAGCGUUGUCCGGAAUUAUUGGGCGUAAAGAGCUCGUAGGCGGUCUGUCGCGUCGAUCGUGAAACUUGGGGCUUAACCCUGAGCUUGCGGUCGAUACGGGCAUGACUGGAGUUCGGCAGGGGAGACUGGAAUUCCUGGUGUAGCGGUGAAAUGCGCAGAUAUCAGGAGGAACACCGGUGGCGAAGGCGGUUCUCUGGGCCUGUACUGACGCUGAGGAGCGAAAGCGUGGGGAGCGAACAGG
rnacentral:rRNA from 1 species